rnacentral:rRNA from 1 species
ACAGAGGCGGCAAGCGUUGUUCGGAAUUAUUGGGCGUAAAGAGCACGUAGGCGGCCUUGCAAGUCAGUUGUGAAAGCCUUCCGCUUAACGGAAGAACGGCAUCAGAUACUACAGGGCUUGAGUACGGGAGGGGAGGGUGGAACUUCUGAUGGAGCGGUGAAAUGCAUAGAUAUCAGAAGGAACAUCGGCGGCGAAAGCGACUCUCUGGCCCGUAACUGACGCUGAGGUGCGAAAGCUAGGGGAGCAAACGG